rnacentral:rRNA from 1 species
UACGUAGGUGGCAAGCGUUGUCCGGAUUUACUGGGCGUAAAGAGCGCGCAGGCGGUCGUUCAAGUCGCGUGUGAAAGCCCCCGGCUCAACUGGGGAGGGUCACGCGAUACUGAUCGACUCGAAGGCAGGAGAGGUUGACGGAACUCCAUGUGUAGCGGUAAAAUGCAAUAAUAUAUGGAUGAACAUCAAUAACGGCGAAGGCAGUUAACUAUUCUGUUACUGACGUUGAGGCACGAAAGCGUGGGGAGCAAAGCGG